AAUUAGCACGUUGAAAGUUUAUUAAAUGAUAUUCGUUUGUAGAAAUUAAAAACUAAUCUCUAAGUAUGAGUUUAAUUGAAAGAUUUUAACGCAUCAAGAAAUAAAGCGGAUCAAAUUAUUUUUAAAGUAAAGCAUAAUAACUUGAAGAAGCUGAUACUGGAACCUUUCCGUAAUAUUAUUCGUUACCGACAUUUAAUAAAACGUUUUUACUUGGUAUGAAGCAGUGUCUUACAAGGGAAUAUACUAUAUUUAUCAUAGAAAGAGGAUCAAAAUAAAGUCUGGAAGACCAUAUUGUUAAAAUGUGGGAAAGACAGAAGAUUUCUAGAAAGAAUAAUAACGGAUCUGAGCUACAAUCGUCAAUCAGAGAAUUGACAAAAUGUUUUAAAAGAAGUAUUCUGUUAAUUGAUAAUAUUAUAGCAUUGAAUUGGCUAACCAUUGAUGCUCAGCAAUCUGUUACUUCAUUUAAGAAUAAAAGAUGAUGACGUCGAUCCAGAAAUGUAUCAUUAUGCACUGGAUUAUUACUAUGCUAAGGAAAUGAACGCAACAAAGGAAUAUUCCAUUGUGCAAUAAAUUGGACUGGCUUUUAAUUGAUCCUCAAUAAGAAUGUCGCCACGAUAAGAUCAUGUCUCAACAAACUGUUCAAUCCUCCAUGACUACUAGAUUUUCAUUGAAUAAGAACGAUUAUUAUUUGUAUGAAAAUAGAAAAGAAAAAUAUCUUAAGGUUCAAGGAUAUCAUUCGAUAAUAUGUAUUCAUCAAUUAGUCGAUGGUUUCUCGUCGAAAGAUUCAUUAUAUUCUCUACCGAAAGAUUCAUUAUGUAUGCAAAGAUUGAGAAAAGCAAGAGAACUAUCCAAGAGAUCAUCGGAAUCAUUUGAAAGGAUAUUGAAGAACAUACAGAUGAAGACAGAGUAAAUUUAUUUAUCGAAUUUGCUAGCCUUAUAACAAUCGUAGAAGAGGAGAAAAGCAGUUUAUUACAAAUGCAAUCAUACUUUUUGGUCAUAUUAUGGAUAAAUUUCGUUAGAAGGAAAUUAUUUAGAUCUGCUAAUUGAAAGGGGAAAAUGUUUUGUUUUAUUAUGGUAGAACGAUUGUUGAUGAGAGAAGAAUAAGUUUGAGAUGUAGACCAUGUUCUUG